GGCAGGUUACCCGAGUGGCCAAAGGGAGCUGACUGUAAAUCAGCCGCUGUUAUGCUUCGGGGGUUCGAAUCCCUCACCUGCCA
rnacentral:tRNA from 1 species